AGUGAACGCUGGCGGUAGGCCUAACACAUGCAAGUCGAACGGCAGCACAGUAAGAGCUUGCUCUUACGGGUGGCGAGUGGCGGACGGGUGAGGCAUACAUCGGAAUCUACUAUUUCGUGGGGGAUAACGUAGGGAAACUUACGCUAAUACCGCAUACGACCUACGGGUGAAAGCAGGGGAUCUUCGGACCUUGCGUGAUUGAAUGAGCCGAUGUCGGAUUAGCUAGUUGGCGGGGUAAAGGCCCACCAAGGCGACGAUCCGUAGCUGGUCUGAGAGGAUGAUCAGCCACACUGGAACUGAGACACGGUCCAGACUCCUACGGGAGGCAGCAGUGGGGAAUAUUGGACAAUGGGCGCAAGCCUGAUCCAGCCAUACCGCGUGAGUGAAGAAGGCCUUCGGGUUGUAAAGCCCUUUUGUUGGGAAAGAAAAGCAGCAGGUUAAUACCCCGCUGUUCUGACGGUACCCAAAGAAUAAGCACCGGCUAACUUCGUG
rnacentral:rRNA from 1 species